CCUACGGGUGGCUGCAGUAGGGAAUAUUGGUCAAUGGGUGAGAGCCUGAACCAGCCAUGCCGCGUGCAGGAAGACGGCCUUCUGGGUUGUAAACUGCUUUUAUCUGGGGAUAAAAAGGCCUUGCGAGGCACAUUGAAGGUACCAGAUGAAUAAGCACCGGCUAACUACGUGCCAGCAGCCGCGGUAAUACGUAGGGUGCAAGCGUUGACUGGAUUUAUUGGGUUCGAAGGGUGUCUAGGAAGGCUGUUAUGAAAUCCAACAGCUCAACUGUGGAUGUGCCAAUGAUACUGAUUGACUUGAGUACAGACGAGGUAGGCGGAAUUGACAGUGUAGCGGUGAAAUGCAUAGAUAUUGUCAAGAACACCGAUAGCGAAGGCAGCUUGCUAGCCUGUAACUGACGCUGAGGCACGAAAGUAUGGGGAUCAAACAGGAUUAGAUACCCCAGUAGUC
rnacentral:rRNA from 1 species